GUAGGUGGCAAGCGUUGUCCGGAAUUAUUGGGCGUAAAGCGCGCGCAGGCGGUUCUUUAAGUCUGAUGUGAAAGCCCACGGCUCAACCGUGGAGGGUCAUUGGAAACUGGAGAACUUGAGUACAGAAGAGGAAAGCGGAAUUCCACGUGUAGCGGUGAAAUGCGUAGAGAUGUGGAGGAACACCAGUGGCGAAGGCGGCUUUCUGGUCUGUAACUGACGCUGAGGCGCGAAAGCGUGGGGAACAAACAGGGAUUAGAUACCCUGGUAGUCCACGCCGUAAACGAUGAGUGCUAAGUGUUAGGGGGUUUCCCGCCCCUUAGUGCUGCAGCUAACGCAUUAAGCACUCCGCCUGGGGAGUACGGCCGCAAGGCUG
rnacentral:rRNA from 1 species